CGCUGGCGGCGUGCCUAAUACAUGCAAGUCGAGCGCAAAGAUCAGGAGCUUGCUCCUGUGAUUUGAGCGGCGGACGGGUGAGUAACACGUAGGCAACCUACCCUUGAGAUUGGGAUAACUACCGGAAACGGUAGCUAAUACCGGAUACGACAUUUCUGCAUAAGCAGAAUUGUUAAAAGGCGGAUUUAUCUGCCGCUCAUGGAUGGGCCUGCGGUGCAUUAGCUAGUUGGUGAGAUAGUAGCUCACCAAGGCGACGAUGCAUAGCCGACCUGAGAGGGUGAUCGGCCACACUGGGACUGAGACACGGCCCAGACUCCUACGGGAGGCAGCAGUAGGGAAUCUUCCGCAAUGGACGCAAGUCUGACGGAGCAACGCCGCGUGAGUGAUGAAGGGUUUCGGCUCGUAAAACUCUGUUGUUAAGGAAGAAUACUUGAGGUAGUAACUGGCCUUGAGAUGACGGUACUUAACCAGAAAGCCACGGCUAACUACGUGCCAGCAGCCGCGGUAAUACGUAGGUGGCAAGCGUUAUCCGGAAUUAUUGGGCGUAAAGCGCGCGUAGGCGGUAAGAUAAGUCUGAUGUGAAAGCCCCCGGCUCAACCGGGGAGGGUCAUUGGAAACUGUUUUACUUGAGUACAGAAGAGGAGAGUGGAAUUCCAUGUGUAGCGGUGAAAUGCGCAGAGAUAUGGAGGAACACCAGUGGCGAAGGCGGCUCUCUGGUCUGUAACUGACGCUGAGGUGCGAAAGCGUGGGGAUCAAA
rnacentral:rRNA from 1 species